GGUAUUAAGAUAGAGUUUCUACAAUACAAUCCUACUAUAUCCAUUGUUUAAACACAUUUUUGAUAUGGUUUAUGUAAGCCCCCAAAUUGCUUGAGUAUUAAUCAGAUCCAAUUGAUGGUGCGGAAUCCCAAUCAAUUGGAUGAUGUCAGAUCAAAAUGGAAGAGAAUGAGAAGAAGAAGAUGAUGAAUCUAUGAUGUAUUCAAUAUGAAUUAUGCUCCUUACAAUAGAUUCUCUCUCACACACACACUUCUUCUCUCUAAGUUUCUCUCUCUACAAGAUGCUCUCUUGUAACCUUCUCUUUUUCCAACCGCACACUCACAUGCACUCCUCUAUUUAUAUGGACCUCCAGCCAUACACAUGUGUACAGCCGCACACCCUAUGUACGGCCGCACACAGGGUGUGCGGUCGUACACACGUGUACGACCGUACACAAAAACCGCAAACACAUACAACAUUACAUAAAAUAUAUUUUCCUAGAAAAGCAAAGUAUAAACCAUAUUUUUGACCCAACAAUCUCCCCCUUGGUUUAUAACUUUCUUUUCUAAUUGACCCAACAAGCUCCCCCUAAAAAGUAGCUGGCUUUUUUCUUGUUAAUCUUCAUUAAGAGCUUGGCUUCACCAUUAAUCUUUGAUUUCUUCACAGCUUCAAGAUGAACUUGAUGAAUCUUCAUGAAUGACUUCAUCUCGAGUGGUUGGGCUUUUCUUCAAGAUUUGACUCUGAACGCACAUUGGGUGAGGAGGCUUGAUGUACAGAUUCUUGAAAGAUAGCACUUCAGCUUGAGAAUCUACAGAUAGAACAAAUCUUCUGGAUCACUUCAGUAGGUACAAAGAUAGCAGCAGAUUGAUUGAGGAGGCUUCAAUGCAAUCUGUGACAUAAUCUUCAAGUACAGCUUCACCAUGCUUCUGGGGUUGACAGAUUGAAUGUCGAAAGAAUAAUCUUCAUUUCUUGCUCCUUCGAAUGUGAAUUCUUCGAUGCUCACGGACAAGGCUUUGGCUCAGAAAUCUUCAACACAAACUCCAUGAGUCUUAUCUAUACCUGAAAUCACUUUUCAAGACAAAACAAAACUAAAAGAAAACUUAGCACACAAAUGAAAACAGAAACAAAAAAUAUUUUUGGAUUUUUGAUUUUUCUGAACAAGAAAUAAAACAGAAAUAACACUAUUUUUGGAUUUUUAAAUUUUUCUGAUUUUUCUUUGAUUUUUUUUAUUUUUGAAUUUUUCUGAUUUUUUUUUUAAUUUUUAAUUCUCCCCUAAUAUUUAAAUUAGAAGAAACUAUGACAAAUUUAACAAAAAUAAAAAUGAUAUCUAACUUUAAGAAUGAUUUGGGAUCAAAGUUUUUAGACAACCUUUAUCCACUUGUCGGUACCUUCCAUAUUCACAUCUUUGUCUGGUCGAUCGUCGGUAUUGUUGUCCACUUAAACACGAAAAAUUGUGACAGAUUUAGGACAUACUAUUUGUUACAAGACAAGGUGAACUUAAGUUCCUAAAAAUUAUAUCUGAUCCUAAUUUCUUAGAUACUAUAUCUUAAGGACCAUUCAUCUGACGACGACCAGGGAUAUUGUUGUCCACCUAAAUUGAGCAGCGAGAUCUACAGACAAUCUGUAUGUGUUCAAUUUUAAGUGUACUAGAACGUGUUUCCCGCUUCCUGAUAUGCCCCAGCCAUCAAGAACUUCCAGAGUACUCCUUACACCGGGUGAGCAGACAACCAUUCAGAGAGAAGAUAGAUUCAGAAUUCUAUUACUUAUUACUUAUUACUUCAGAGGGGUUGAGAAGUAGAAGGUUGCAUAUGCUGUGUACCAGGUCGGAUUAGAAGUCGCGCAGAGGAGACAACAUAUGGCUAACAGAUAAGAAGUCUUUCACAUAUAUAACCUGCAGAGAAAUAGAGUUGCAUAUGUUGUGUACCAGGUCGGAUUGGAAGUCACGCAAAGGAGACAACAUAUGACUAACAGACGGAAAGAAAGAAAAUGAUAUUCUACAGACCUAAUUUAUCGGAAUUUACCAGUCGCCCCAUCCAACCGGAAUUAAGGACAGAAUCCGCACAUCGAGGAAAAGUUAAGCCACGGUUCCAAGUACGGGUUCAAUUAUUGUGACGAGUAGAUUCCCAUAUAUAUCUCCCUGCUCAACCUAUCCGAGCGUCGUAUUGUCAGGCUGAACGGAUCUAACUAGGUCAAGAUUUGUCAAGUCUAUAAAUUUCCUAAGUUCAACUCUCCCUAGUCAAGUCCAUUUAAAAAAUUUUCGUGCCUACCGACGCAUCAAACCAGAGCAUAGACCCUUCAACUUCGGGUACGUUACGCAGACUCAGGUUGCCUGUUAUCACUUUAUCAUAUCACUUCCCAGAACAUCUCCCUCAAGCAGCACAUUUCAUAACCAAAAAUUUUUUUUGAUUAUCUGAUUUUCUAAUGUUUUUGGAUUUUUAAAAUUUUCUAAUUUUUGUUUUGUUUUUAUUUCUCCCCCUAAAUUUGUGCAUAAGAGAGAAACGAAAGUAAAUGCGCAAAUUUAAACUAUCCUAAAACAAAAAUUAGUCUUUAAAGCGAAUCAGGUUAAGAAAAACUCAGGAGUAUAGAGAAGAAAACGCAAACCGUAAGUCACCGAUUGAAUUUGCAUCCAGAAGGUCUGAGAACAGCACGCGUAAACUCAGAACAGAUCCGAAAAUUCUUCAUGUCGUUAAGCACAAACCCCGUUUGUGAUCUCUUCCUUUAUUCCUUUCCCGCCAAGGACACAUACUCUCAAAUAAUGUUCUGAGUACUGUACAGUUGAGAGCUGUCUCCUAUCAUGUGCCUGGAACAGCUACUACCAACAAACCGAAGUCUGAUGAUAUGCCUCCAUAGCUGCUCCGACACAGAGCGGGAUUAGUUGGUCUUUGGAACCCAGUCCAUUUUGAAACUGGGUCGACCUUUGUCAUCGACACACGAUACUUUCUCCCAUGACAUGUCCAGUUUAUCACAAACAGAAGACAUAGAAAUAUUAGAAUCGUUAGUUGAUUUGGGAGAUUGAGCCUUUGGAACCCAUUUGUAGUUGGGUUUAACCCAUUUCUUUUUCGAUCCGAUGGGUGGCUCAGUACUUGCUUUUGAACUUGAUGUCGGCCGUUGAGAUGAUUUUGAUUUUGGCUUCACGGGAGCAUCUCUUGGAUUGGGCUUCUUGGCCGACAUUCCCUUCUUGCCCUUGGGAUUUGAAUUCUUGGCCUUCUUGGCAUUCCAGUCAUCAAUGUCUGAUUGUGAUCUCGAGGGGUAUCUUUUGGAGUAUCUCCCUCUUGGCGCGUUCUGCCAGCCUUGUGCAUAAUAAGGAACGUAUGCGCGAUUUGGACAAUUUCGGGCAAUAUGACCAGGUGUUCCACAGUAAUAACAAGUCUUUUUCUUCAUUGGGAAAUUGUUUCUUCCUGCCCCUGGUGGCGUGUCCUUGCCUCGUUUCUGAUUGUUCCCACACGCACAGUUGCAACAGGUCGGCUGUUUCACUUGACUUGGUGGCCUGUACUUCUCAACAACAGGUUGAUCAGAAGCAACUGAUUUCGAAGCAACAGAUUCAGAGUUCAAGGAGUCAUUGGUGUGUUCAAUAGUUUUCUCCUUUUUCUUAUCCUAUGUUACUUUACCUGUACAAGAAGUAGAAUCAUUAGUAUCGUUCAGCUCAGCACCCUCAGUUGGCCCUGAUUAUUCAGUCUUAACUGAAUCUGGAGCAGGGGUUUGGCCAUACUGAGCAGGCAUUUCUUCCUCAUUGGUCUCAAAGGGUGCGUUAUAAUUGUGAUUAAAAGGAGGUGGCACAUUGUGAUACCCUAGACCCUUGGUUUGAUUAUCUUUAAAACUCAAUUGAUUUUCUACUAAGGACUCGACUGUCUUACUUGACGCAGUAUAAUUUUUGAAACUAACAUUUGUUUUUCCACACUUUAUUUUCAAAGCAUCGAGUUCUUCAGUUACAACAGCAAGUUUGCGUUUAAUGUGAUCAUAAUUUUCACACUUGUUGUUGUAAUCUUCUUGUAAUUUCCUAAAGUCCUUAGUCUUGGCCUCUAAUUGUGCUUUUAAAGGUUUCUGACCUUUCCUUAGAGUAUAGCCUUCAUAUUUAAGGUCCUCAUUUUCCCUUUUUAGCAAAUCAAUUUGUUCGCGAAGAAAUUUAAUCGUAGCUUUACAAGAUGGAGUACAUGAAACUUCAUUUACCGGAAUUGAUGUGGAACUCAUUUUCGUUUUUUUUUAAUUUUUUUAAUUGCCCUUUGAAUUAAAAAACAGGGAAAGUCAACCUUAAAAGUCAAAUUUAAAAAAUCAAACCCAAAAGUCAAACUUGAAAAGCCAAACUUAAAAAGUCAAACUUAAAAGUCAAACCGAAAAGCUAAAUUUGAAAAAUUAAAAGUCAAACGAGAAAGUCAAAGUUGAAAGUCAAAGGUCAAACUUGAAAGUCAAAUUAAAAAUUUUAAAGUCAAAAGUCAAAAAUAAAAGUUAAAAUUUAUAAACUAAAAUUUUAGGUUGAAAAAAGAAUUUAAAAUUAAAGGAAAAUCAAUUUUGGGCUGAAAAUGACAAAAAUGCGAAAGUUGGAACCGAAGACCAGCUUAUGUUUUAAAAGACCGAAGUAUUGUCACAAAAGAAUGGUUGGAUGAGUUGGCAAGGCGCGCAGACUUGAAUCUAGAGAUUCCGGGUUCGAUCCCCGGCACCUUCGAACCCGUUACCCUUUUUUUAUACGAAGGCUGCUUAGCGAGGACGAGAGCUGCGAAGCGAGGAGAGGCAAAUGCGAGCCGAACACGCUGCUGAGCCGUGAACCAGAGUCGAGACCGAGCCGUUUACCGAGGCCGCACACGGAGCCGCACACCGAAACCGUAGCCGCACACCGAGACCGCACACACUGAGCCGCACACCGAGGCUGCAGAGCCGCACACACCGAGCCGCACUCCUUCAACCAGCAGCACACCUUCAACAGAUUCGCGAAAAAAACGACGUUUUUCAGCCCUUUUUGCUCCAAAACUCGAUCAAAAACUCGUUUUUAUGAAAAAUGCAAAGAAGUAACCCCCCUUAUUUUUGCGAGAUCUAUCCAAAAAACAUUAUUCUCAUUUCAAAAUAAGAUCAAAUAAGCUCCAGAUCUGAAAAAAUUGAUUGAUACAACCAAGCUCUGAUACCAAUUGUAAGUCCCCAAAUUGCUUGAGUAUCAAUCAGAUCCAAUUGAUGGUGCGGAAUCCCAAUCAAUUGGAUGAUGUCAGAUCAAAAUGAAAGAGAAUGAGAAGAAGAAGAUGAUGAAUCUAUGAUGUAUUCAAUAUGAAUUAUGCUCCUUACAAUAGAUUCUCUCACACACACACUUCUUUUCUCUAAGUUUCUCUCUCUACAAGAUGCUCUCUUGUAACCUUCUCUUUUUCCAACCGUACACUCACAUGCACUCCUCUAUUUAUAUGGACCUC
rnacentral:lncRNA from 1 species